rnacentral:rRNA from 1 species
AACGAACGCUGGCGGCAUGCCUAACACAUGCAAGUCGAACGAGACUUCGGUCUAGUGGCGGACGGGUGAGUAACGCGUAGGAACCUGCCAAGCAGUGGGGAAUAACAGCUGGAAACGGCUGCUAAUACCGCAUACGCCCUUCGGGGGAAAGAUUUAUCGCUGUUUGAGGGUCCUGCGUUCGAUUAGCUAGUUGGUGAGGUAACGGCCCACCAAGGCGACGAUCGAUAGCUGGUCUGAGAGGAUGAUCAGCCACACUGGGACUGAGACACGGCCCAGACUCCUACGGGAGGCAGCAGUGGGGAAUAUUGGACAAUGGGGGAAACCCUGAUCCAGCAAUGCCGCGUGCGUGAAGAAGGCCUUAGGGUUGUAAAGCGCUUUCACCUGUGAUGAUGAUGACAGUAGCAGGAGAAGAAGCCCCGGCUAACUCCGUG